CCUUCUCCUCUCCUCUCAGAUUCCAGCUGAACAAGGUCAGACUUAUGCAUCAGAAGUUAAUGCCAUAUUUGGAGAGACUAGUGCCCUCACUGCUAGGAAUGUUGAGGAAAUGUUCAUUGAAAUAAAUACCCUGUUCCCAGUCCUCAUGGGGUGGAGUAGGCAGACUGGUGAGAGUUGGGCCAGUCAAAAUGUUUUAAACCUGACCUCCAGUUCUCAAGACUGGACUGCCUGCUCCUGUCCCAUCAGUGUUACAUCUAGCCAGCAUUGAUGAAUGUGUGCAUGAUGAGGAACUGGUCUAAGACUGUACCAGUUGGACUGGGAAUGAAUAUUGGGCUCCUUGACUCGAGAUCAGUUCCCUCUCAUAAGUGAUGAUUUGGUUAAUUCUCAUUAUUUAUUAUUAUGAUGUAUUGACAUGUUAUGUGCAGUUGCUGUGAUCGGUAAAAGACACAAUCUAUUGUGCAAUGACUUGACACCUUCCUCUCUCCCAGCAAUCACACCUGAUUGUGACUCCACACCCUCAUUAAUAAUUGAUGACUAUCCUACCAUAUUACCGGAAUUGUGCAGACAGUUUUCAGCUCCAGUAAUAAAGAGGGAGUGUCUGGUAGUAAGAGACUAUUACUGGUGGCCUUCAAUCAGUGAGACGUCUCUUUGAGUCUCUCAGGUACUCAUUAGUAUUUCAUUAAGAGGAACUCACAAACUCAGUUCUCACAAUCUACUGACAUUCAUAAUACAAUCAGCAACCUUUCAAACUAAUUAUCGCUCAUUAAAAUAGACUUAUGAGUUAGCAAUGGUAGAAGAAGGUGAGUUUGAUGAGAGAGUGUCCCUUAACAGUUCAGAGACUGAGCAUGAGGAGGAGCAGCUGCUGGGAAGAUCAGAUGAAAAGAAUGAGAGGUUGGAGCCAAUUGGUGUCAUUUAUCAAUCUCCCCAGUAUUUACAGUAUGGUACUCCGUUAAGUGGAAAAGAAUAUUUAUCAACAAGAGAAAACAAGUUGACUCCAGUAUCAGAUGCUAAUCCAUCAGUGAUACAGUUAUAAUUAUUAUUACAAGAAUUACAACCAGAACCAACUGAUAUCAUCUAUAACACGUGCAGAGUAUCAUAAGUUGUGUUGAUCUAAUGAGUUCUUCAUUUUUAUUAUCUUUUAAAUCAAGUUUAUUUGAAUCUCCUGAUAAUUUUGCUCUUGUUCGUCUCCAGCUCACUCAAUCAUUAUAUUAUAAGUUAUUAACGUUAAUUAUCAUUGAUGAGGAGAAGAAGCAAAAGCUUUCAACCAAAAAGUAGAUGUCAAUACAGAAAUAUCAACUUGAGGUUGUUUUCUUAAAGAAGCAUGGUUUGCUAAAGUUGCAUAGCAACUUUAUGCAUCCUGUAGAGUAACUUCUUUAUCAUUGGAGCACAGAAAGUUGGAGUUUUCCACUAUAAAGAGGAAUUUUAUAAUCUGUCAUAAGCUAAUGUUGGAACACGGUUAUUUUCAUAAGUCGCUUUUUGCACUGUCAGCAGAAAUGGUCUUAUUUUCGUACAGUUCACACAGCAGAGUGUUUCCAUGGAUAUUAUCAGUUAUUGAUUUCAUUGUUAUCAUUUUUUAAAAGUUAUUGAGAUUAUCAUUAAAGUGGAGCCGUCAUUCCCUCAUGCUAUAGUGAAGCAUUUGAGCGAAAUUGAGGAAAUGGUCCUAUCAUGAUCAUCUUUAGCCCAGCAGUCCUGUUCUCCAUUAUUUGAUGCCAUUCAUUCCAUUGGGUCUGUACCUAGUUACAGUGAUGUCAUGUUGCCUAACAACCCGAUAAUAAUGACCACACUCACCUUGAUUUUCUCACCUUAAAAGGGAUUCAAGUCCUGUUGUGUCUCCUCUACCUUCAGUGAGGGAGCGUUAUUCUUCUCCUAGUUCUGUUACUUCACAUCGUCAGCUCUUCACUGCUAGAAAGAAUGGCUCAGGCUCUCCUCUAAAGUCAUCAGUUAGUGCCGGGUUAAGUAAACCACACCCCCUAAACCACCUCAAGGAGUCGUACAGGGUAAUCGUAAAGGCCCUGUUAAAAGAUAGAAUUUAGAGAAUGAGGAAGACUAUGGAAACUAUCAGCCAUCAAGGGAAGCACUACCAAAAACUGCUUUCCAGUAUGGAGUUAAAAUGAAUGAUGGUCGUAAGACUCGUAGACAAGGUGUCAAGAAUGAGAAAGCUAAACUGGACAGAGAAUGGCAGCAGAUCAGUGAGCUCUAAGUUACCACCAGAUUGUUUAACUAGUUUACCAGCUGGUGCCUCUCUCUUAA